rnacentral:lncRNA from 1 species
ACCCGGCUCAUAUUUACAGAAGGAGAUGAACAACAUAGACAAGGAAGUUAAGAGAAAUCCUGUGUGACAAAAGAGGAAGUAAGAUGGGGAGUGAGCAAAAUCACUACGGGGUGCUCACCAGGAAGACUGAAGAUAGAAGGGAGACUUCAGAAAUCCUCCCUCAGGAGAGUUCUCUUAGCAGCCUCCAGAUGAAGAUGUAGAACUCUCAGCUCCUCCUGUACCAUGACUUCCUGGAUGCUGCCAUGAUCAUCACAUCAUGAUGAUAAUGGACUGAACCUCUGAAACUGUCCUCCACUGGCAAGCCACUUGCAUCUUUUACUAACCUUAGGAUCAUAGAUGGUUCUGGAGUGGGCAAAACUGCAGAGUACCCUCUUGUUUAAAAAGAGGAGGAAUAAUUCACUCUUCUCCCUUUGUGAUGACUCUCUUAGGGGAAAAAAAGAAAGAUCUGCAAACACAAUCCAUCACCAGUAAUUAUGAAGCAUCCUCUUCCAUUCUACAUGAAAGGACAGGAUUCUAAAGUUGAUCAAGGGCAACUACCAAAUGCAAGUGGUCUGAUUACAUAUGGAGAAAGUUCAGAAUCUCUUGCCUAGGGAAUAGUGUCACCCAUAGUGGGCAAUCUUCUCACCUCAAUUAAC